GAGGCGACCUCGAUGAGGCCGGUUUUCUGCGUUCGUGUUCUCAGCUGCUGGCAGGCAGUCAAGUGGGGGCGUCGGCGUCGCAAAACGUGAGUGAUGACUCAUCCGGAGGUUUUCAUUAUAUUAGGCAGCGCGUGCGGAGCGUGGACUCGGCGCACAAACCAGUGGCGGCACAGUGAACUACUCGUCAGUUUUGUUCUUCAGAGGGAAAGAGCAUCAGCCUAUGCAGCGACGCCAUGUCCGGCGAUCGAUCCCUGGCCGCACACGUGCAGGAUGCCAGCUUGGCUCGCUCCUCGCUGGCGCUGAUAGAUGGAUCAGUGUUCUUCAGUGCAGCACGACGAGUGGCGCAAGGGGUUAGAUUACCUGAUGUCAUGCAUGACUCAUGCAGGGAAUCUGCGGGAUGGGCACUCCUGAGUCCUGACUCACUCACUCAUUUGUAUUUUGGUCGAUGUGUAUGGACCAUGUUAUUGCUGCUACCUCCUUUAAUCCUUUUGUAUGUAGUACUUGCAUGUAGUUGCUUUCAGAUCAAAGAUUUGUCGCUUCUAUGAUCCCGUGAACUUCUCCCGGCUGUCAGGUUUUCAAA